rnacentral:lncRNA from 1 species
AUGCUAUUGAAACGUCAUCUGUCCUUGAAAUUUUCAAAAUGGCCGCCGUUGUCAUGGAAACAGCAAAAAAAAAAAAAAAAAAAAAAUCGCAACUUUCAGGCAAAAUUCUGUAAUCAUGACUAUGUGCAUACGAUCAAAUACAAAUCUGUACUGCAAAACAUUUUCUAGAAUAUGCUAGAAGAAAACUAAUAUAGAAUUUAACGUGCUUCUAUUCUAUACAUAAAUCGUGCUUUGAAGAGAAGAAUCGCCACUGAGAGAGAGAGAAACACGAAGAGUACACAUAAGUGACAUUUCUGCACUUGCACUAAAGUACACAUCCGUUAAUCGAACACCUGCUACAAUAUACACAUGAGCUAAAAAUCAAUCGAUAAGCGUGUAAUUAAAUUGUACAAGAUAAGAUACAUGUAUCGUGUGAUACGCGAGUAAUUGAAGAAUAAAAUGAACAGUUAGUAUGCCGCUCCGUCAAUAUAUACACAUGUUGUCUGUCCAAGGUCCCCUCUAAAAAGAAUAGUAAUGUUACUAAGUCCACGAUAAUAUACUUCAGUAUCACGUGACACCACCUUUCUUCCUCGCGCG